rnacentral:rRNA from 1 species
UACGAAGGGGGCUAGCGUUGCUCGGAAUCACUGGGCGUAAAGCGCGCGUAGGCGGAUUGUUAAGUCAGGGGUGAAAUCCUGGAGCUCAACUCCAGAACUGCCUUUGAUACUGGCGAUCUCGAGUCCGGAAGAGGCGAGUGGAACUCCUGGUGUAGCGGUGGAAUGCGCAGAUAUCAGGAAGAACACCAACGGCGAAGGCAGCUCGCUGGGACGGUACUGACGCUGAGACGCGAAAGCGUGGGGAGCGAACAGG